UACAGAGGUCUCGAGCGUUGUUCGGAUUCAUUGGGCGUAAAGGGCGCGUAGGCUGCGGGGUAAGUCGGGUGUGAAAUCUCAGAGCUCAACUCUGAAACUGCACUCGAUACUGCUCUGCUUGAGGACUGGAGAGGAGACUGGAAUUCAUGGUGUAGCAGUGAAAUGCGUAGAGAUCAUGAGGAAGACCAGUGGCGAAGGCGGGUCUCUGGACAGUUCCUGACACUGAGACACGAAGGCCAGGGGAGCAAACGGG
rnacentral:rRNA from 1 species